UCUCUUAUCUAUGCAUUUCCUCCAUAGCAGCAUACAAAUUUUACUCAGAUUUCAAAUUUAACUCAACAUCAUCGGGUCUAUCAUGGUAAUGUUGGCAAUUCUUUUGAGUUUCAGUACUCGUUAAAUACGACUUGCGAGUACUUUUUUCUCAAUCUCCCCCUCCAAGCUCUUUUCAUCUUUCUCUGUCUUCAAUUUCAGGAAACUGAUGGCACAAGGCAUAAAUGGGAGGAUUUUAAGACGAGGAAACUAAAAUUACUAGCCGAAAUUUGUAUGGAGAUUUAGAAGGCUGAAGAGUGAAGAUAUCUGAUCUUUUAACUUUUAUGCAAGUGAGAGUUGUCUGAGGUGGAAUUGUUCCACCAGGGACUUCCAAUGGUGUUGAUAAGUUCAUAUGUUACAAUUGGACAAGAUAUUUUGGUUGGUGAAGACUCUUUUAUAUUAGCUCUAUCAAGACUCAAGAGGCAAAAAUGUCAAUUCAAUUGAAGCAUGAGACUAUUUGAAUGAGAAACAUGUCUCAAGUAUAACAUAAAUACAAUCCACCUGUAGUUAGUUAUCUGCCGUUUUCCUUGUGCUAAACUUGUAAACCAUAUCAAAAUUGUCAAUUCGAAGGAAUGAAAUCUAGAUUGCAUUUGAUGUGUAAGUCAUUACUUCCA